rnacentral:rRNA from 1 species
UGCCACAGCCAUAUCACCCUGCAGCCCAAGACCGGUUACUCACUGAAGCUAAGCAGGGCUGAGCCUGGUCAAUACCUGGAUGGGAGACCACAUGGGAAAACUAGGUUGCUGUUGGAA